GUCCGAGACGAAGGACCCACUACGAGUGCAGCCGCACUUGAAGAAGUGCUUUGAAGGCAUUGCCAAACUGGAGUUUGACAGUAAACUGGAUAUUCAUGCCAUGUUUAGCAGUGAAGGAGAGAAAAUUAAGAUGGUUGAGACAAUUUCUACGUCAGAGGCCCGAGGAGCUGUGGAGAAAUGGUUG
rnacentral:lncRNA from 10 species